GAUGAACGCUGGCGGCGUGCCUAAUACAUGCAAGUCGAGCGAAUGGAUUAAGAGCUUGCUCUUAUGAAGUUAGCGGCGGACGGGUGAGUAACACGUGGGUAACCUGCCCAUAAGACUGGGAUAACUCCGGGAAACCGGGGCUAAUACCGGAUAACAUUUUGAACCGCAUGGUUCGAAAUCGAAAGGCGGCUUCGGCUGUCACUUAUGGCUGGACCCGCGUCGCAUUAGCUAGUUGGUGAGGUAACGGCUCACCAAGGCAACGAUGCGUAGCCGACCUGAGAGGGUGAUCGGCCACACUGGGACUGAGACACGGCCCAGACUCCUACGGGAGGCAGCAGUAGGGAACCUUCCGCAAUGGACGGAAGUCUGACGGAGCAACGCCGCGUGAGUGAUGAAGGCUUUCGGGUCGUAAAACUCUGUUGUUGGGGAAGAACAAGUGCUAGUUGAAUAAGCUGGCACCUUGACGGUACCUAACCAGAAAGCCUCGGCUAACUACGUGCCAGCCGCCGCCGUAA
rnacentral:rRNA from 1 species